rnacentral:lncRNA from 1 species
CACAAGGUAAGUCCCACUGAUCUUGAAAAAGAAGUCUGUCUGUGUAUGUGGUACUUUCUGAUUGGUUUCUCAUUCUAACAGUCUAACAGUAGAACAGUAUUAUUGGGGCUUGACAAAGUAAUUCAAGCUUGUGUUCCAAAAUGGGACCCUAUUCCCUAUAUAGUGCACUACUUUUGGCCAGGGUCCUUAUGGGCUCUGGUCAAAAGUAGGGCACUAUGUAGGGAAUAGGGUGCGAUUAGGGACGUAGCCUAAGUCUCCACACAGUACAAUCUAUACUGUUGUAUAAAGUAUUGUGUUAGAGUUCUUUGUUUAGCUCACGUGGAUGAAUGUAGAUCCUCAACAACAGCUGGGCUGUGGAAAGAAGCUCUGGCUCCCUACACGGAUCCAAGGAACGCUCUACGUUGAUUUUACACAUUUCUGAGCAAAUUUAAUAAAUAUUGUACACAAACAUUUCUUAAAAUGUUAUUUAUUUAAAGGAAGGGGGAUGUCACCUGGUAUAAUGUUCUUUAUUUAAAGGAAGGGGGAUGUCACCUGGUAUAAUGUUAUUUAUUUAAAGGAAGGGGGAUGUCACCUGGUAUAAUGUUAUUUAUUUAAAGGUAGGGGGAUGUCACCUGUACUAGAGCAUUUCUAGUAUAGUUCCAAUCCCUGCAGUAGUGUUUGCAGUUUACUUCAAUUUAUCAAUAGGACAGAAGAGAGAGGAGAGAGAGGAG